AUCUUAUGUUUCCAGAAUACCUCUGCCACCCUCUGCAUUUGUCUAAUCCUUUUGUGAUUUUGUGAGGCCCUCCAUCCCAUCCCCUAGAAUUCUGCCUAUGUGAAAGCUUUCAGGACAAAUCCUGAAUUGGGUGAGAGGUUACUCUAUGACCUUUAUGAUCAUUCCAUUUUUCACUGUAUGUUUCUAUGGUACCCACUGCCCAAGCUCUGUUAGUGUAAGAGCGCAGUCUCUAAUACACAAACUGAGUUGGAACCCCGAGUCUUCCUUGGAAUUCCUCUGUGGCCUUGGGCAAGUUCCUAC
rnacentral:lncRNA from 1 species